rnacentral:rRNA from 1 species
GAUGAACGCUAGCGGCAGGCCUAAUACAUGCAAGUCGAACGGGAUCUGAGGGUAGCUUGCUACCCGAUUUGAGAGUGGCGCACGGGUGCGUAACGCGUGAGCAACCUACCCAUAUCAGGGGGAUAGCCCGAAGAAAUUCGGAUUAACACCGCAUAAUAAUACGCUAACACAUGUUGAUGUAUUUAAAUAUUUACAGGAUAUGGAUGGGCUCGCGUGACAUUAGCUAGUUGGUAAGGUAACGGCUUACCAAGGCGACGAUGUCUAGGGGCUCUGAGAGGAGAAUCCCCCACACUGGUACUGAGACACGGACCAGACUCCUACGGGAGGCAGCAGUAAGGAAUAUUGGUCAAUGGGCGCAAGCCUGAACCAGCCAUGCCGCGUGCAGGAUGACUGCCCUAUGGGUUGUAAACUGCUUUUGUUAGGGAAUAAACCUUCUUACGUGUAAGGAGCUGAAUGUACCUAAAGAAUAAGGAUCGGCUAACUCCGUGCCAGCAGCCGCCGCGG